rnacentral:rRNA from 1 species
UGGGGAAUUUUGGACAAUGGGGGCAACCCUGAUCCAGCAAUGCCGCGUGUGUGAAGAAGGCCUUCGGGUUGUAAAGCACUUUUGUCCGGAAAGAAAACGCCGUGGUUAAUACCCGUGGCGGAUGACGGUACCGGAAGAAUAAGCACCGGCUAACUACGUGCCAGCAGCCGCGGUAAUACGUAGGGUGCAAGCGUUAAUCGGAAUUACUGGGCGUAAAGCGUGCGCAGGCGGUCCGCUAAGACAGAUGUGAAAUCCCCGGGCUUAACCUGGGAACUGCAUUUGUGACUGGCGGGCUAGAGUAUGGCAGAGGGGGGUAGAAUUCCACGUGUAGCAGUGAAAUGCGUAGAGAUGUGGAGGAAUACCGAUGGCGAAGGCAGCCCCCCUGGGCCAAUACUGACGCUCAUGCACGAAAAGCGUGGGGGAGCAAACAGGAUUCAGAUACCCUGGUAGUCCACGCCCUAAACGAUGUCAACUAGUGCUGGGGAUUCAUUUUCUGNACGUGCUAACCGUGAAGUGACCGCCUGGGGAGUAACGGUCGCAAGAUUAAAAACUUAAAGGAAUUGNCGGGGUCAUAGC